AAAGGAUGUUUUUCAAACUUUUCUAGCACAUCAUUCAUGAUGAAUUAUGCACUUUGUGGUCCAACUAGAUUGCUAGUCCCACCUUGCAAAAACGACAUCCACAAAAACUCCCAAAUAAUUAUAUUGCAUGCUUUUAGGUAUGGUUUACCAACAAUUGGUAUUGUCGUAGUACUAAUAGUCUUAACUGUUAUGUAUAGAAGAUGCCAAAGAAGGAGUACAACUCUACCAAUUAAAGAUGAUUUGUUGUCUUUGAAAACACCGAGAAGAAUUUCACACGCUGAACUUUCACGAGCAACUAAUGGAUUUGAUGAAAGCAAUAUGCUUGGUUCAGGGAGUUUUGGAUAUGUAUAUAAAGGGAGGCUUUCAAAUGGAAUGGAAGUUUCAAUAAAAGUUUUCAAUUUGCAAAGAGAGGGAGAAUUUAGGAGUUUUGACAUUGAAUGUGAUGCUAUGCGUAAUAUAGUUCAUCGUAAUAUUGUGAAGGUCAUUACUUGCUGCUCAAGUGUUGACUUCAAAGCCUUGGUGCUUGAUUACAUGUCUAAUGGAAACCUUGAGAAAUGGUUACAUUCUGAAAAUUGUUUCCUUGAUAUCAUACAAUGGAUCGACAUAAUGAUAGAUGUUGCGAUAGCUAUAGAACACCUCCACAAUGGACAUCCAACACCUAUAAUUCAUUGUGACAUAAAACCAAGCAAUAUUUUACUAGAUGAAGACAUGGUUGCACCUGUUGGAGAUUUUGGCGUUGCCAAAUUGUUGGGAGAAGGUGAAGUAAUUAAGCAAACCAUGACUCUUGCAACUAUCGGGUAUAUGGCACCAGGUGAAUUCUUUUUUUAUUUUUGUAUGAUUAUUUUCCUAAUUUGCAUUUUAUAUUUUUGUUUCAUGUGUAUGUGGAUAUAUAUUUGAAUAAGCAUUUUAGAAACAAUUGAGGAUGAAUGAUGUUCUAAUUAUACUUGAAAUGCAGAAUUUCGAUCAGCAGGAAUUGUUUCUAUGAAAUCUGACGUCUAUAGUUAUGGGAUCGUCCUUAUAGAAACUUUCACAAAGAAAAAGCCAACUGAUAAUGUUUUUGUUGAAGAAGAGACUAUAAGGCAUUGGAUGGAAAGUUCAUUGCCUAAAGGAGCGAUAGAAAUUGCAGAUGUUGAUUUACUAAGAAGAGAGGAUGAGUACAUUGUUGUUAAAGCAAAUUGUACUUCAUCUAUCAUGGAGUUGGCUUUGAAUUGUUCAGCUGAGUUACCAGAAGAAAGAAAAGAUAUGAAAGAUGUUGUGGUUGAGCUGAAGAAAAUCNNNNNNNNNNNNNNNNNNNNNNNNNNNNNNNNNNNNNNNNNNNNNNNNNNNNNNNNNNNNNNNNNNNNNNNNNNNNNNNNNNNNNNNNNNNNNNNNNNNNNNNNNNNNNNNNNNNNNNNNNNNNNNNNNNNNNNNNNNNNNNNNNNNNNNNNNNNNNNNNNNNNNNNNNNNNNNNNNNNNNNNNNNNNNNNNNNNNNNNNNNNNNNNNNNNNNNNNNNNNNNNNNNNNNNNNNNNNNNNNNAAGUAUAACACAAUGGUCUUAAUUGAGCUAGCUUGCCUCGCCAGGUAAUUUGUUGCUUUCCAUUUAUUUAGAGUUAUUUAGAGUGUUUUGUAUUUAAUAUUGUCAUAGUUGAAAGUAUCAUUCAUAAUCUAAUCUAAUUGUGUUUUUGGCUAGUGGUUGUUGAUCAAGGAAAACUAAAGGAGGCCAAUAAGGAGAACGAAACUCCACAUCUUUACUAUCAUGUUCUACAAAGCAAAGAGACUUUUUUUCUCGAUGAAAUUUGUAUUGGGCUAUCAAUGUUACAUGGAUUAUGUUGUUUUUCUAAUGUAGGAGGGGGUUUUGCCAAUAUUGCAUGCAAAAUCAAAGUAAUAUUUGUCAAUGCUUAGCUUAAUCAACUCUAAUGCUGCUGUGGAUUUGAUUUGUCUUUACAAUAUUUAGAGAUUAUUUUGUGAAUGUUAAAUUUAAUGUCGAUAUUUAUUAUUUCUGAAAAGGUUGAUAAGACCGAAAUUAUAGAAAAAAAAAUCAUGAGGUCUUAAAUGCAAUUGAAUUAAAUGUGAUCCUAAAAUGUUAGAGUUCUUAUCCCACAAAUGUGACAGUACUUGUCAAGCACUGAAGUAUAACUUAAAUAUUGGUUUGUCUUAAAAUUGAAAUGUUAGUGUUAUCCAAAAAGAUCUUGAAUUCAAUUAAUUGUGAUUGAGAAAUCAUGUCAGAUUGCUUGAAAAUUGGUGAGAAAAUUCUAAGUCUAUGGCAAGUAAUUUCAUGAUGAUUGGGAAAUAAAUAGGCAACAUUUUUCUAUGUUCUUCUUUCAUUGUAUUUGACAAGAAACUAGAAAAUGACAAAGAAAAUGAAAAUGAAAUACAGUUGUCAGAUCUCAAGACUCUUUGUUCUUCUUCCAUUGGAUCGGAUCGACAGGCUAGAAAGUAGAGUUGUGGCCUUCGUGCCUUAUGAUGUAGGUUGAUAUUUUGUUCCUUUGAAUUUGCAACACACAAAAAGCAAUAACCUGAAAGGAGCAUAAGAGUAGAGGUGGGACUGGAGGCAAGGGGAUGGUGGAGGGAACUUGUCAAAGCUAAGAAUCUCUAAAAUAACGAUGGCAAUUGUGGAAAAGGCCCUCAAUUAAGAACCCUAAGGACCCGUUUAUCUUAAAAUUGAGAGGUUUGUUUCAUUCAAAAAGAUGUGGUGCUCUUGAAUGCAAUUGAUUGUUGUUGGAAAAUAAGUGAGAAAAUUCUACUUCUCCAAAAAUUGAAUGUGAAACAGCAAAUUCAAUGUAUACUUUUUUUUUAAUCGUUUUUAUGUCAAUGAUAUAAGAAAGUCCUACAUGCAUUUGGAUUAAGCGAGAUGAAGAAAUGUUGAAAUUGUUUUGCUGAAAUAGAGACCCACAAUUGUGGAAAACUGAGUCAAUACUCAAAAAGUAUAAUCACGAUUCUACAAGACAUACAUGUCUUAAAAAUUACAUCAAUAUGUUAAAUUAAGAAUAUUAAAUAAAUAAAUUAUUUAUCAUAUUUUUAUCAUUAAUCUUGAGUUGGUGUCGAGUUAAUUUUUGACACCAACUCAAUCAACAAUAAAAAUAUUUUAUCAUACUCACAAUGUGGGUGAACAAAUAUAUUUUAUAUUAAAAAAAUAUCUGUAAAAAUAUAUGUAAAAAUAUAUUAUUUUUAAACACAUCUUUGUAUUCUAAAUUUAUGGUUUUCAUACACAUAGGUGUGUGAUAGGAUUUGUAGUCAAUAUUUAAGAGUUUUAUUGAGAUGGUGUUAACCAACUUAAUAAUGUAUUUAUCAAAAUCCCCUCAAUUAGGGACAUGGGCUUGACCGAGCCAACUCAACCUAUAUCAUCUGUUUCUAUUGAGUUUUGCUUGACCCAAAGACCUGUCAAUGUUGUUAAAAUUGAAAUAUUUAACUUGUUGUAGAAGACUAACAGUAGAAAAGUAAGUCAAUGCUAAAGUAACAAAUGGAUAAUAUUGGUGACCAUAUAUUUACUUCAAAAGAUCGGUGACCAAAACUAUAAUUUUAAGCAAACAUAAGUGACAGAAUUUGUGAUUUUCUAUUUUUUUUCAUUUUCAAAAAAUUUUGGUUUUACACUUUAGGCAUAAUAACAAAUUUAGCUCUAACAUUUUUUUUUUCAUUUUACCUCAAUUUUUUUUUAUUGCUAUAGCCCUCAACAGUAACAAAUUAAAAAAUCAAUUUAGCCUUUAUGAAAAAAAGUGCACCAAUUGAGUACUCAAUGAUUCCAAAAAAAAAAAAAUCAAUUGACCUUUUCAUUUAUCAAAAACUGUGAAUUGAACGAUUUAACCGUUGAUUUAACUAAUGUUACGGACAGAAAUCACUAGAAGUUGUCACAUGAUAGCAUGAUAAUGUGGCAUGCCACAUAAAAAAAUAAAAAAAUAUUUUUUAACAAAAAAAUAAUUUAAAAAAACAUUUUUAAAUUUACUUGCAACAACCUUGAGUAACAUCAUCCACAAAAGCUUGAACGUUCAUAUCCAUAGAACCACCUUUCAUGGCAGCUUCCCUCGCUAACCCUUUCCAUUUCUCAACAGUUUUCUUUACUUCCAUCCCUUUUCUCUUCAUCCCCCAUCACCACAUCCAAGCACCUAACGAUCUCAUCACGUUAAUUUAUUGAAAGAAUAUUUUAUAAAUUAACUUAUUAUUAAACAUUAAAAAAUAUUUGAAAGAAUAUUCAUGAUAUAAUAUAUUUAUAAUAUUAAAAAUAUAAUUUAUGCGUUAAUUAUAAGGAAAAUUUUGAAAGAUGAAUUUAUUAUAAUGUGUAGAUAUAUAAUUAAUGAUUCAGAAUCUUAAUAUAUACAGAAUAUAUAUAUAAUAUAAUUUUUUUCGGUUAAUAAUUAAAUAUCAUUAAAUCAUUUUGUAAGUUUAUUAUAAUUUUUAUAAAUGAUACAAAAAAUAAUUUAAAGCAUAUUAUUCUAUAAAAAUAUUAAAUUUAAUAAAUUAUAUUAUAAUGAAAGAUGCAAAAUAGAUACAAGAAUAUAAUGUAAGAGGUUAAUAUUCUUGUUGUAGAUAUAUAAUUUAGUAGUAAUAUUUUAAAAUAUGUUGUUAGUUCUUGUAUUUCAAUAAGUUCAUUCUUUAUAAUUUAAAAGUUAUAAAUUUAAUCCCUUACUUUUUCAGUUUAAAAAUUUUAAUUAAAUUAUUAUCAUCUUUGAUAUUUUUUGUCAGAACUUGUCAACUUGUUUAUUUUGUGUUAGUCAUAUACCACGACAUAUAAGGGAAACCUAAUUAAUAUGUAAAGUUGACAAAUUUUGACAAAAAAAAAUUUAACGAUAGGUCUAAGAAUUUUAAAUAAAAACAAGAAGACUUAAUUUUUAAUCUUUUAAGUAUAAGGACUAAAUCUCAAAUUUUAUCAAAGUAUAAGGACAAAUAGUUAUUUCAACCUUAUUUUGUUUAAAAAGUUUUUUACAUUUAUUAGAUCAAAAUAUUUUGUUAGUGCUUGUACCUUGACGACAUUUAAAAUUUAAUCCUUGUACUUACAAAGUUAAAAAUUAAGUCUUCUUACUUUUCUAGUUUAAAAAACUUAGUCCUACCAUUACGAUUGUAAGUAUUUUCUAUUCAAAUCUGUAAAUUUGAAUAUAUGUUGAAUAGACUGCCUUCAUAUAAUGUUGCAUAUGAUUGAUAAUACAAAAAUAAAAAUUAUGUUUAGAAAAAGAAGAAAUUAAAGAUCCAAACAACAAAAUAAAAAAAAAAACAUAUAGUCGGUGCACACAUUAUUAUUUUUAUGCAUCUUUUACUGUACAUUCUUUCACAUGACUAAUUAUGAUUGGCGAAACCAUUUUUUUUAAAUCGGUUGACUUUUAUUUUUUAUUUUUAAAAAAAAUGAAAAUGGGAGUCGCCACCAAUCCUUUUUGAUGAGGUGUGAUCGGGUCACCUCGAAAAGUGGUUGUUUUUAAUAAUCAUUUGAUUUAUUAAAACAAUAAUUUUGGUCUACGGAAUUCAAAAAAAUGGGUUCGGGAGUCAAUUAUGUACGAGGAAGGAUUAGCACCCUUGUAACGGCCAAAAUUGGUACCUAGUUGAUUAAUUAGUGUCUUAGUGUUGAAAAUUGAAAACUUGAAAGAAUUUACAAUACGAUCCCUCUUUUUAUUAAUGUUAAAUUUACUUAGACAUUGCUUGAAUAAAUCAAAUAAACGUUAAAGACCCUCUCGUCUCGAGAUAACAAAAUGUCAUAUCCCGUAAGUUAGGACACGACACCUUGAACCUUUGAGAAUAAGCUUGCCUUUAUUUUUAUUUGAAAUCUUAUGUGUUUUAAUUUUGAAAGGAUAUGUGGUUAUUUAAGUUCAACGAGAAAAUCGAAACCCCGUAAGUUAGGGUAUAAUUUCUCGAAUCUCCCAAAUACGGAACAUUGCCUAUUUUUGAAAAUUUGUUUUGAAUGAUAAUGGGUGUAACAUUUAAAUGAUGUAUAUCUAUCUUAUUUGGAUGCAAUACAUUAACGGGUAAGUAUAUCUAACUUGUUAUAUAGUAUAGUGAUAAUAAUAUAUAAUAACUAUAAGAGUAGAAUGUUAGAAUAAAUAAAUAAAGGGAUAUAACAAUAAUACUAAAGUAAUUGUAAUAAUAAUAUCUAUGAUCAAAUCAUAAUAAUAAUAAAAUAACUAAGGUAACUUAAAAUAAAAUAAAAAGACAUAAUUAAAAGGAUAAUAAACAUGACUGAAAAUAUCAAAAAUGAUAAAAGAAAUAACAAAAUAACAAGACCAAAAAUAAUAAAAAAAUAACAUAAAAAUAAAAUAAUAACGACAAUAAUAAAAUGCAGAAAUGAUAGAGUAUAAAUAAUCUAUUUUUUAGCAUAUAAAAAGGAAGUAAUAGCCUAAUAAAUAAAUAAUUAUAAAAUAAUAAUGCUAAUAAUGAAACAAAAAAAAAGGAAAAUAAAUACUCAAAAAAAUAAAAACUUAAAUAUUAAAAAAAUGAAGGAAAUAAUAAAUGAGUAAAUAAAUAAAUAAAUAAAAGAAUUAAAAUAAAAUAAAGACUUAAUUGCAAUUUAAAUGAGAUUUAAAGAACGAAUUGAAUAAAAUAAAUAACAAAAGGGGUAAAAUGUAAUGCACAGAAAGAAGCAGGGGCCGAAUACGAAAUUAUCCCAAUUCUUGGGACACGCGUCCCUUCAAAGGACGCGGGAUUAAAUUGAAAACAGUAAAAAAAUUCCAGGCGAAAUUUAUACAAUAUAAAAAGUGCAAAUAGGACUAAAUUAAAACAACCCAAAAAGGUGGAAGGACCGAAAGAGUAAAUAACUCAAUUAUCAAAACACGCGGGUCCUCCUUGCGGGUCUGGUUAGUGCGUGGGUUGGAGGCCAAAACGACGCCGUUUUGCCGUCUGCGCAUUGGCCCAAAACGGCAUCGUUUUGUAAGGCCUAUUUAAGUUAAAAAAUUUAGACACUCUCUCCUUUCUCUCUCAGCACCCCCUAUCCGGCCAUGGCUCCGGCCGUCGGCCACCGAUUAUCGGUGAUGGCGCCACCGUCCACGGUGGCCAGAAAAUUGAAAGAGGGCCAUUUUCUUUGGCUUUUUGACUCCUGAGUCCAUUAGACGUCGAUUUUCAUCGGAACAAACAAACCUCGGCCACCUACGACGGUGCAAAUGCAAAAAAAGAGCUAAGAUUCGACCUUUCUUUUUUAUUUUCCUUAAAAACUAGUAGAAAUAUAAGCAGAAAAGAAGAAAAAAACAAACAAACAAAAGAACCACCUUUUUUUAUUUCUGAGUGCUCUUUUUUGUAUUAAUUUCCUGUGUCUAAAAAAAACUACAUUCAUCUUGUUUGUAACUUUUAUAGCCGAAAAAAGAAGAAAAAAGAGAAAAAGAAAAUACAAUUUUUCUACUAAUUUUUUCUCUCUUUUUUGCCUCUGUCUGUCCUUUUUUGUCUGACUCACAGGUACGUAAGCCAGCUUUGGAGGUACGGAGGUCGACGUGGCGAUGGCGGCACGUAGUGGGUAUGCUGAUGUGCGGCGUUGGAGGCUAGGGUUUCACCUCUGCCUGGGGCUCCACGACCUCAUCCCAUAUCGUUUCCACCUCUGACCUGCCCAUGGCCUCUAGGUGGCUGCUGACCACCUCUCAUUGGUUGAACAUGCCCCAGUCCUAUAGCUUGUAUCUGAACCGACCUCUAAGGAGAAUCCCUAAUCCGAUGAUCCAUGGACCCACAUCUAAAGCACGCCCCAAUCUUCUUCCUGCACUCACCCUGGUGAGAUCUCCCACAAUCAACAUAGGGCUGCAACCUAGCAAUAGCAACAGAAACUCCAGUCUGAACCAGCCCAUCAAAGCAGGCCUUCUUAACAAACCUUCCAGAAGAACUUGAGGCCCCAAAAUCCCUCUUAUUCCUGGCCUUAUCUUUUUCACGAUUCUGACGCUCCGAGCGCUUCACUUCUUCAGCAAUCUUUGCCUUUUCUACAAGAGCAGCAAAAUUUCGCUCCCUCUGUAGGGCUAUCAAUACUCUCAACUCAUCUCAUCUCGAAGACCAUCCUCAACUCAUCUCAUACUCAGUUGCUACUAUCCCUCGGGCAUAAUGACUCAACUGCAAGAAUUCUGCCUCACACACAGCCACUGUCUUACUUCAUUGGGUCAGGCUCAAAAUUUCCUUUCGGCGGGCAUCCACAUAACUUGCUCCCAUGUAUUUUCCUUGAAAAACUACCUUACAGAAAUCCCACGUCACACGAUCAGCCUGCGUACCCUCUUUCACGGUAAGCCACCAUUGGUAGGCCUCAUCUCGCAGUAAGGACACUGCCCCUUUUAAUUUUUGCUCCAUGGUACAGUCAAGAUCAUUCAUUAUUCACUUGAUUGCCUCUAACCAGUACUUCGCCACAUUUGGGGCUACACCAGAAAUACCUCUGAAAAUUUUCGCUCCAUUAGACCGGAGUCGUUCAAAAAUUGACCCUCGGCCCACUGCUCCAGUACUAGCUCCAGCAACCCUCUCCAGAACGCAGAGCAUUGCUUGGGAUAAAGCAUCAUCCCCAACUGCUCAAUCAAAAGACCUUGUCUGGUGAGGCUGCUGCUUCCUUAGUAGGCAUUUGGCCUGAUGCCGAAGACCCAGCCCUAGCGCCUCCUCGGCCUCGACCGCGGCCACGUGUACCUCUUCCGUGAGUACCUCUAGCGCUCAUAUUGAAUAACGCAUUAUCUGUUUUAAGAAAUUUUAUGCAUCAGUUGUCGUUCCAGUAAUUAAUAAAUGUCUUAUGAAAAGCAGUAAUCAGAGUUUUGUUUUCACGGACCAAAGUCUCCCUACAGUUUCCAAUCCCUACAAUCUUAGUUUUUCUCUAACUAAAGAGUUUUAGUGUAGUCCUACUAUCUAAAGUAGUUUCUCAGUGUUUCAUGGUUCAACCAGUCUACAGUAUAUAGAAACUUACAGAUUUGACGUUGGAGACUCGAUGUGCAACACUUGUAACCUUCAAAAACUAAUAUAUUAGGAAUAAUUGACUCUGUCACAACCCAAGCACAAUAUAUUAGGAAUAAUUGCCAACACUUAAUAAAAUAAGGAAAUCAGCAAUAGAUGGUCCAAAGCACUUAAAAAUAAACCACCCAAAGCAAACCAAGGACUAAUCAUAAAAAAGCUCUGGCUUCAAGAAUUUCUCUGGCUUCAAUCUGGAAGAUAUCAUUCAUACCUAAUAUAAAGACUAAAAUAAUACAUUUAAUAAAAAAAAACUAAUUUAAUCCAAUUCCUCUAAUACAAAUACAUCCCAAAUAAUUUAAAAGUGAAUUUUAUGUCUGGGUUUUUGAUGUGUGAAAUAUUGAUGAAUUCUAAUUAAGUUUUGAUUGAUAAACUAAUAAAUGUAAUUAAAUAUAUUAUAAGAUACAAAACUAUUGUUUGAUUCUCCAUAAGUCGGUCUAGGUCACUUUCAUUGGUGACUUACCUCUAAGUCUUCUCACGUCUACAUUAAUUCACAUUUUCUUUUGAAUUUCUAUGUAGAAAAAGGAUGUAUGGAAAGGGGAUUAUCAAAACAGGAUUACGAUUGUGUUGAAAAUAACGAUAUGUUAGGAAAAAAUAUAAAAAAAGGUGUAUAUAAUUAGUUAAAUAUAUAUAAAUUUUGUAGCGUUACUAUAAUUUUAAAAUAUAUUACUGUUAAAAAAUUUUAAAUUUCAUAUAAAAUUUUAAACAUAUUUUUAUUAAUAUUUUAUAGAAAAAUAUAUUUUGUUGAUUGUUUUAAGGCUUACAAAUUUUUAAAUAGUUUUAAAUAUUUUAUAAAAUAUUUAAUUUUAAAAAUGUAUCUUUUUAAAAGGGAAAUUCAUUAAUUCAUUUAAUGAGUAAGAUCAUACAAUUUGAAGGGAGAAAAAUAACAAACACGUUGUGCGCGUUGAAGGACAAGCUCUAUCAAUAUAACCAAAGCUUCAGUUUCAAGAUCAAUAGAUCAUUAUGGCACGUUGAUGAUCGGCUUUGUCACAACUCAAGCAGAAUAUAUUAAGAGUGAUUGCAAAUACUUAAUAUAAUAAGGAAAUCAGCAAUUGGAAUUCCUGGUUUGGUAAUAGAUGUGUUUUUAUUUUUGUAAUUUUUAUGUCCGGGUUCAUUGUCGAUAUUUGUGGAAUUGAACUGCAAUUGGAAAAAAUAAUUUUUAAGAUAUUUUUUAUAAACUAAAUGUUAACUCUAUUACAAUUUAGACGUAUUUAAUUUUUUUUGGUUGAACGUAAGCUUAGAAAAUUAAGCGCUCAUCUGUCCAAAUGAAAAUUAUGAUCAGUCACCAGUGAUUGUCUAAUAUCUUCUUCAAGCUAGCAUCUUACAUAAUGCGGAAGAUCUUCCAAGAUAACCAGCUGCUCAAUUACGCCCCCAUCUGCCUUGGUUAUGCAAUCAACAAUUUUAUCGGCAUUCCGCUAAAUAUGUCGAAAUUUGACUUCCCAAUUUUUGGAACACCAAUCGUGAAUCUGUCUUACUUUAGCAACAAUACUUAUUGUAGCCAACCCGUUACAAAUAGUUUCAAUCAACAUCUUGUUGUCACUUUCCAUCUCAACACAUCUGAAUCUUAUUUUCAGUCUUUCAGGAAUAGCUCUGGCUUCAAUCUAGGAGAUAUCAUUCAUACCUAAUACAAAGAUUGAAAUAAUAUAUUUAAUAAUAAAAAGACUAAUUUAAUACAUUUCCUAUAAUACAAAUACAUCCCAAAUAAUUUAAAAGUGAAUUUUAUGUCUGGGUUUUUGAUGUGUGAAAUAUUGACGGAUUCUAAUUAAGUUUUGAUUGAUAAACUAAUAAAUGUAAUUAAAUAUAUUAUAAGAUACAAAAUUAUUGUUUGAUUCUCCAUAAGUCGGUUUAGGUCACUUUCAUUGGGUGACUUACCUCUGAGUCUUCUCACGUCUACAUUAAUUCACAUUUUCUUUUGAAUUUCUAUGUAGAAAAAGGAUGUAUGGAAAGGGAAUUAUCAAAACAGGAUUACGAUUGUGUUGAAAAUAAUGAUAUGUUAGGAAAAAAUAUAAAAAAAAGGUGUAUAUAAUUAGUUAAAUAUAUAUAAAUUUUGUAGCGUUACUAUAAUUUUAAAAUAUAUUAUUGUUAAAAAAAUUUAAAUUUCAUAUAAAAUUUCAAACAUAUUUUUAUUGAUUUUUUAUAGAAAAUUAUAUUUUGUUGAUUGUUGUAAGGCAUACAAAUUUUUAAAUAGUUUUAAAUAUUUUAUAAAGUAUUUAAUUUUUAAAAAUAUAUCUUUUUAAAAGGGAAAUUCAUUAAUUCAUUUAAUGAGUAAGAUCAUACAAUUUGAAGGGAGAAAAAUAACAAACACGUUGUGCGCGUUGAAGGGCAAGCUCUAUCAAUAUAACAAAAACUUCAAUUUCAACAUCAAUAGAUCAUUAUGGCACAUUGACGAUCGGCUUUGUCACAACUCAAGCAUAAUAUAUUAAGAGUGAUUGCAAAUACUUAAUUUAAUAAGGAAAUCAGCAAUAGAUGGUCCAAAGCACUUAAAAAUAUGUUUUUAGAUCACUUUAAAUUUCAAAAAGAAAUUAUUUUUUAAUAAUUUUUAAUUUUUUGUUAAGUGUGAUCGGUCAUAAAAAAAAUACCUUUUAUACAAAGAUUUUAAAAUUCUUUUUAAAAGAUAAAUUUGAGGUCUGCGUUGAAUUCCAGAGAAAAGAGUAGGUUCAAGAGUCGGUUAUGUGUAAGGAUGAUUGUACUAGCCCUACAACACUCAAAAUUGGAACUUAUUAAUUACGCAUUUGUCCAAAAAUUCAAAAUUUAAAAUUGAGAAAUCUAAUGAUUAAUUAUGACCCCUUGAAAUAAAAUACUAACUUUUCGAGUGAAUUAAAAUUUAUUAGUGAAAUAAAUUUUGGUAUCUCUUGAUAUCCACAAAAAUAUUAAAAAUAUUUUAAAAAGAAAACAAAACUAGUAAAUUCACUUUAUUUACUAUUCUUAUUAUAAUAAGACUAAAAUUUUAGGAAAUUUGGAGAAGUCAUGAGUUGGUCAUAGAUUCAGUUACUUUAUCAUUAUAUGUAUGAAGCUCAAUUUUCAAAUAUAAAAUGACUAAUUAAGUCCAAGGAUAUAAUAAUUAUACAUUGUAGAAAAUUUUCAUUAUUCUCACUUUUACUUAAUUUCAAUUUCUCUACUGACUUCAACCUCAAGAUUCCGUCUACACUUCAAAUUUUCUUGCAAUCAAUUAUUUUUGAAGAAAAAUAGCAAUUUUACAGUAGUCAAAAUUUUGAAUUAAACUAAAUUGCAUGCCAAUAAUAAUUUUUAGAGUUAAUUGUUUUAAACAUUUUCAAACUAUGUUUUCAUUAUGAUGUUUUAAACUUCAAAACACUCUAAUUACAUUUUUAAAUUAUCGAUGUUAUAUCAAUCAUGUCCAUUAAUUACUAAAAUCAUUAAUUUAAUCGUUAAAUGACACAUCAAAUAUUAUUUAUCUAAAUUAAAAUAAAAAAUAAAAAUACAUAGAACACUGUCGAAUAACUUUUAAAAGAAAAAACUAAAAAUAAAAUAAAACUGAACAAAAAGAGAACGACCACUAAAGUUUUUGUACAAGUUUUGAAAACCUUAAAACUAAUAUUUGUAAAACAUCUAUUAUUAAACAUUAAAAAAUAUCUGAAAGAAUAAUUUUUUUAUUAAUUUUUUUUAAGUCACCAGAAUCUAUAUUGAACAAAUCAAAUUUAGUGACAAAAUUAAAUAAAAUUUUAAGUUUACUUUCAAAGUUAAAUAUGAGUUAAAUGGUAAAUUUACACUAUAACUCUAGAAUUAUUGAAGUUUUUAUCCCCAAAUCAUCCACAGUUUGUGGAAGAGCUCAUCUAUUAAUAAAGUUUAGCCCUAAAGACCCAUUUGUGUUAAUAAAGUUAACAUUUUCUAUUUAAAAAAAUAAUUUUUUAUUUAACAGAGUUAAUAUUUUUAAAGUUUUAUGGUUUUAUAAAUGAAAUAUUUCUUCUAGAAUUAAAUUAAAAUUGAAAAAAAUUAAAAUAUUUUUUACACAAUAAAUAUUAACUCUAUUGCAAUUUAGAUAUAUUUGAUUAGAGUAACUAAAAUAAAACAUUUAAUACUAAAAGGAGGAAUUUGAUGCACUCGAGAUCCCAAUUACUUUUAACUGUUUUUUAUGUAUGAAGUAUUGAUGGAUGUUAAUUAAGUUUUGAUUGAUAAAUGACUAAAUGUAAUUAAAUAUAUUAUUGUUUGAUAAAUCACUUUCACAUUUUCUUUUGAAGGUUUCAUUAAUUGACACUUUACUUUAGAUGCUAAUUAAUUUUCCUUUUCUACGUAGAAAAAGGAUGAUCGAAGGAGAUUUCAAAGUUAUAAAUAUGUUGUUAGUCUCUUUUAUUUCUAUAAAAUGUUAGAUUCAUUCUGAUCACUCAACCUUAUUUUGUUUAAAAAGUUUUUACAUUUAUUAGAUCAAAAUAUUUUGUUAGUGCUUGUACUUUGACAACAUUUAAAAUUUAAUUAAAAAGUUAAAAAUUAAGUCUUCUUACUUUUCUAGUUUAAAAAAUUUAGUCCUACCAUUAGGAUUGUAAGUAUUUUCUAUUCAAAUCUGUAAACUUGGAUAUAUGCUGAGUAGACUGCAUCCAUGUAAUGUUGCAUAUGAUUGAUAAUAAAAAACCUAUUAAGUUGAAAUUUUUUAAUAGAAUUAAAAAUGAUUGGACUAGAAUUUUUAAAUAAGAAAAAUAGGAGGAUUGGAUUUUUUUUAACUUUUAAAUUACAGGGACUAAUAGCAUAUUUUAAACAAUUUAUUAUUCUGAAAAUAAAAUAAUAUAUAGUAAUUAAUAAAAUAUAUUUUUUAAGUUUUUUUUAAUGGAUUAUGUGGAGUAAUGUGAAGAAAAUUUAGGAGAAAUUUUGAAAAUUCGCUUCUUUGUAUGUAUUUUUUAAAGAAGAAGACUUGACAUUUAUUUUGAAAUUUCUUCAAAACUUUGCUUUCCUUUUUAAUUUUUAGGGUAGUCUUAAAUUUAUCAAGUUUAUCAAGUGUGCGAGGGUUGAAACAUAUUAAAGCAUGCUCUCUGUGCUUUUCUUCAUCAUCCAAACUAUUUUAUCAACUCCACCUCCCUUUUCCUACUUUUUUUAUUUUCUUGGCUUACUCUGUCUUGCAAUCAUGAACUACAACACUUGCUUUCAUCUUCUUUUAGCUUUAUUCAUACCAUGUUCUGUACUUUGCUUGGCUAUGACAGUCAGGAAUCUCAACUCCGAUCAAUUUGCACUUCUCGAGUUUAAGGAUCGCAUUGCCGGUCCUCAAAAUGUCUUGGCAAACAAUUGGAAGGCCUCAACCUCUGUUUGUAAUUGGAUUGGUGUUUCUUGUGGCAUCUUCCAUAAAAGAGUUAUAGCUUUGAAUCUUACAAGCAUGAAUCUUAGGGGUACUAUCCCUCCACACCUUGGAAAUCUUUCAUUUCUACUCUCUCUCGACUUGAGUAGCAACCAUUUCUAUGGCCAUCUCCCUGAAGAAUUGGGCCAAUUGCAUCGUUUGAGGAUCCUUCAAUUAAGAUACAACCGUCUGAAUGGGGAAAUUCCAUCAUGGCUUGGGAACUUACAGAGAGUUCGAAGACUGGAAAUGAUAAAUAAUAACUUUACAGGCACAAUCCCUGAAACACUUGUUAACAUGUCUAAUCUAGAGAUCUUGAACUUAGGACUCAAUCAAUUAUCUGGUCAGGUUCCAUCUUCCAUUUUCAAGAUUUCUUCUUUGAAAGCUAUUAGUCUCUCCAGCAAUAGCUUAUCAAGUAGUUUGCCUAAUGAUAUGUGUCAACACCUUCCCAAGCUUGAAGGGCUUUACCUGAGUUCGAAUGAAUUAUCUGGUAACAUUCCAUUUGGCAUGGGCAAAUGCAACAACCUUAAAAAUUUGUCAUUGUCUUAUAAUCAAUUUACGGGGAUCAUUCCAAGAAGUAUUGGAAAUUUGAUUCAACUUGAAGAAUUAUAUUUGGGGUUUAAUAAUUUAGAAGGUACUGAAUUUCUUUUGUUUCUUUAAUUUAAAGUAUUUUGUUUAUAUAAGAGUUUGAUUUGUAAUAGAUAACAAAAAGUAAGAACUUUGAUGAAAAAAUAUGCUGAAAUAUAUUAAAAUCUAACAUCUCCAAAUUAUUGUAGAACAGAAAAGAAAACCUCUUUGACUUAUGCUAAAAAAAUAGGAAGUUUAACACAUUGAUUUUUUGACUAUGUCUGCAGGUCAAAUUCUUGAGGAAACCGGUAAUCUUCUUGGUUUGGAACUGGUUAAUAUUCAAGCAAUUAAAGGCCUUAUAGGUCAGAUUCCAGCUUCAAUCUUCAACAUUUCUUCUCUGAAGACCAUUAAUCUCUCCAACAAUAGCCUAUUAGGUAGUUUGCCUAAUGAUAAGUGUCAACAUCUUCCCAAGCUUGAAGGGCUUUACCUGAGUUUGAAUGAAUUAUCUGGUAACAUUCCAUUUGGCAUGGGCAAAGGCAACAACCUUAUAACUUUGUCGUUGUCCUGUAAUCAAUUUAUGGGGGUCAUUCCAAGAAGUAUUGGAAAUCUAACACAACUCCAGGAAUUAUAUUUGGGGUCUAAUAAUCUAGAAGGUAAUCAAUUUCCUUGAUUUCUUGAAUUUAAAGUAUUUUUUUUAUAAAAGAGUUUGAUUUGUAAUAGGUAACAAAAGGAAAAACUUUUUAUUUCAUUUGAUGAAAAACAUAUGCUGAAAUAUAUUAAAAUCUAACAUCUCCAAAUUCUUGUAGAACAGAACAGAAAACCUCUUUGACUUAUGGUAACAAAAUAGGUAGUUUGACACCUUGAUUUUUCGACUUUGUGUACAGGUCAAAUUCCUGAGGAAAUCGGUAAUCUUCUUGGUUUGGAGCUGCUUAGUAUUAAAGCAACUAAAGGCCUUAUAGGUCAGAUUCCAACUUCGAUCUUCAACAUUUCUUCUCUGAAGACCAUUGUUCUCUCCAACAAUAGCCUAUCAGGUAGUUUGCCUAAUGAUCUUCCCAAACUUGAAGUGCUUUACUUAGAAGAUAUUGAAUUUUUUUUGUUUCUUUAAUUUAAAAUAUUUUUUCAUAGAAGAGUUUGAUUUGUAAUAGAUAACAAAAGUUGGAGCAUUUUAUUUCAUUCAAGGCAAAAUAGUUAAUUUGAUGGAAAAAAAUAUGCGUUAAGUAUUUUUAGUUGAACAGUUUAGAAGGUAUGUUUUUCACUUCAAUUUUCGACUAUGUGUGCAGGUCAGAUUCCAUCAAGUAUUUUUAAUUCAACUAUGGUCGAACUAAUAAGUCUAUAUGGCAACAAAUUAGAAGGUAUGUUUUUCACUUUAAUUUUUUCCAAACUCCAAAAACAUUGUGUUGAAUUUGUUUCUUCUAUUUAUGUCAUAUACUUUUAUCAUUUUAAUCUGAUAAUAAACAAUAAGAUUUAUAUGAAUUGAUUUUUUUUUAAUUUUUUAAUUUCCAUUAAACUUUCAAAAAUAAAUUAUUUGAGGGUACUUUAGUUUUUUAAUAUAAGUUACAUUAUUUGAAGGUACUUUAGUUUUUUAUUUUAAAAAAUUAUGGUGAUAUUUGAAUCCACAUCAAUACAUAAAACCUUAAGGAUGUGUUUGGUUCAGUGUAAUAGGUAAUCCAUUACGCCCCGAUUAUGCGCCUAUUACAUUACCGACCUAUUCCAGCGUUUGGUUCGCUGUAAUAGGUAUUACGCGCGUAUUACAAUACCAGCCUAAUCCCCAAAUUCUCUGUUUUUCUAUUCCCUUCCCAAAUCGAGGAUUACCCAUUACGUCCGGCUUCCCUUUCCAAGUCUCUGUUUUACCCUCCCUCCCUACCCGACCCUCUCCUUUUUCUGUCCUCAUCAUUUCUCCUCGUCUGCCUUUACCGAUUCUCUCUCUCGAUCAUUUUUUCCCUUUCAUUUGUUGCAGCACGUUUGAAAGCCACUGCUUCAUUUUUUCUCUCGGUCUCGGCGUGAGGUAUGAAUCUUGGUGUUCAUUUUUCAGGUCUGGUUCCUUUUCGGUUUCUUGGUGUUAAUUCCCUUUUCUUUUUAUUUGGUGUUCAAAUCCAUCACUGCCAAGUGGCUUCUGGGUUUCAAAAAUCCAACUAUUCUGGGUUUAUUUUGUGUUUGCUUCAUGAACUUGGAUUUUAAUCGAGAAUUUCUCUGUGUAUGUUUGUAGUGGAAAUAUACAAUAGAGGGUGUAUUUAUACAUGAAUAAAUCCCUAAUUUUUUUUUCUAUUUACAACGUGAUAAUAUUAAUGAGCUCAUUAAGAUAGUCGAAAUGCUAGAAGAGCUCAUCAAGAUAGCAUCAUUAAGCUGGUUAUAGUUGGAGUAAUGAACCAGGGAUUUUAUCUUGCUGGAAAAUAAGUAUUGAAAGACCUAAUAGUAUAAACAUGGUUACAAUUGUGUGCACCUGUGGGAAUAAGGUUAAAUUGAGUGUUUCUUGAGAAGAAUGAGUGAACCCAACCCCAUAAUACAUUGUAGCUGUGUGUUUUUUUUCUUCCUUUCUAUGUGAAACUGAGUGGGAUACUUAGUAUUGCAGGUGAUAAUGAAAGCAGGAAUGUGCUGGAUGUUUUUUUCUUAGGGAAGGCUGUAGCUGAAGCAUUGAAUGGGAGAAUCGAGUCCACAGUUGGGGAAUUUUUGAGUGUUUUUGGAAGGUUGCAGGUUGAGCAACAAAAGCAAGUGCAGGAUUUCCAGGUAACCAGAUUUUGUUCUUGAAUCUAAUCCUUGAUAAAUUCAUGAUUCAUGUCAUGGCCCUUUCUUUUGNNNNNNNNNNNNNNNNNNNNNNNNNNNNNNNNNNNNNNNNNNNNNNNNNNNNNNNNNNNNNNNNNNNNNNNNNNNNNNNNNNNNNNNNNNNNNNNNNNNNUUAUUUCAUAGCUCUUGGAAUAGCUUAUUUGGUAAUGCACAAACGCCACCAGUGGAGAGUUUUAUGAAUUUGAAAUUUGGCUCUAAUACACUUCUGUUCUGCUUGACCAUUACGUGUGUUUCUGAAUCCUAAUGUUAUGGUGCCCAAAGUGAUUGGUUCUAUUGCUUACAAACCAAACCUUACUGGAAAAAUAACAAUAAUUUGAAGGUAUUUAAAUGGAAGGAGUUAAAGGUUUUCUUUUCUUUUCUUGACAUAUGUUCUUGGGAGCCUUACGAAAUUGCAGUCAUCAUUUGUUUUAAAUGCCUUCUUUUGAUGCUGGUAUUAUUUUUGCNNNNNNNNNNNNNNNNNNNNNNNNNNNNNNNNNNNNNNNNNNNNNNNNNNNNNNNNNNNNNNNNNNNNNNNNNNNNNNNNNNNNNNNNNNNNNNNNNNNNAAGAGACCCCUUUUCUUUCUUUUGAGGAAAAUUAUGGCGUUCAGGUUUUCAAAUAUACUGUAUCAAUGGCAUUUCCAGUAACCAACCCUCUCUCUUAACCUCAUCAUGAAUUGCAUGGCCAUAGUUUCACACCAACUUAAAUUCUAGCAAGUUGUAUUAUCUGAAUUCCAUUUCUAGUUAGUUAUUGGAGGCUCAAGCUAGAAUUCAACUUUACAUCUACUACAGCAUUUUGAAACUGACCUUUGUCGGUUUACAUAGGGAUGUACCGUUAUUUUCUGAGUAAAUGCAAUAACAAAUUGGCCAUCAGGAUCUUUUCUUCUUUUGUUGGAAUUGAAAUCGUUCAUCUGCAAAUUUGCUGCAUUUUACUACUCCAUUUUGAUGAUUUAUUAAAAUAUGACAUCCCCUUUAAUUCAUGCACACAGGAAGAGGUAUUGGAAAGAGUAAAAAGAGCCAAAGAGCAAGCGGCACGCGAGGAAUUGGAGGCACAAAGGCUGAUUCCAAAGUCUACUUCCCUAAGUACAUCUAUGGGCAGUGGUGCCACUGCAAACAAUGGGGCUGCAGCUAAAGCUUCGCCCUCAACUGCCAAUAACGGAGUUUCUACAACCCCAUCCUCCUAUAAUCCCCCCAACCCUGCUGCUGCUAAUACAGACCCUGGGCCUGAUACUAAAAAGGAAUAGUGCCAAGUAUCUCUAUUUGUAUUUCACACUUUUCAUCUGAUACAGUACCAAAUAAAUAUAAUAUCCAGGGUGUUUAAUCCCCAUUAUCCUUUUUGUUUGAAUCUAUUUCUGCUCCCUUUAUAUUCAACAAAAAAAAUAACUUUCAGGUUUAUACGUUCAGGUUCUUAAAAAGUAUGUAAGCAUUCAUUAAAUAACAUUUUAACAAGUGACAGCAUUGAAAGGAAUUACAUCGAUUAAACAAAAUUUCUGAUCCUGCAUGGAUCCAACACCUUCAGUGUCUGCAUAAAAUUUUCUAGGUAUGUCUAGUUCUCAUCACUCAUCAACUUCAACACCUGACAUUGGAACUCCUCCACUAGUUUUGCUCCUUUCCCUUAACAUAAUCCACACCAAAGUCAUAAUUAUCAUCAUCAUCAUCCAUAGCUUCAUCCCAUGAGGUUAAUUUAUUUUUGGCUUUUUUCCUUCUCUUAUUCUCAGCUCUUUUCAUCUUUGUGUUCAGCAUGCCUUCUACUGCAUACAGCUUCUCAUUUUGCCUGCUUGUGGCAGAUUUUGACUUUACCUUUUCAGCAUCUUCUUCUUCAGAAGCCAUCUGCUCAUCAUUACCACCAUUACCAGAUGUAUCUUCUUGCUUUUCAUCACCUUCAAUUGAUUGCAAGGGUUGGGCAUUAUCCUGUGGUGCGCAAAUAUCCAACAGAUUUAUAUAACACCAUUAGUUCAAGCUAUUCCAUCUAUUAACAUGCAAAACUAAGAUUAAACCACAAAAGUGUCCUCAAAGNNNNNNNNNNNNNNNNNNNNNNNNNNNNNNNNNNNNNNNNNNNNNNNNNNNNNNNNNNNNNNNNNNNNNNNNNNNNNNNNNNNNNNNNNNNNNNNNNNNNAAAAUUUAAAUAACAAUAACAAUAAUCAUUUACCAAAACAAAUUUCUGCUAAGGGUAUUCUAGUCAUUUUAGUUUUUUCAUUAUGCUAUUACACCUCUAUUACACUCAACCAAACACAAGAUUACUAUUACGCCUCUAUUCCAUUACAUUCAACCAAACAGUUGAUUUGCUAUUACACAGCUUUUCCAUUACACCUCUAUUCCAUUACACAUCUAAUCCAAUACACCUCUAAUCCAAUACAGCGAACCAAACGUAGCGUAAAUUUAUCACUUAAAUUUAUGAUGUCACAAAUUAACUCGACACCAACUUAGGAAUUGACAACAACAUCAUCAUAAACCAAAUGUUUUAGUAAAACCAAAAUUCUUAUCCAUACAUAUGAUAAAUCUUAAAAGUACUAAAAAUAUUUAAAAUGAUAAAUUCAAUAAUAUAGUAAACAACAAAGGCUAUAUAAUUAUUAGUUCAAAAGUUUCUCAAAAUCCAUACAUUUAUAUAUAUUAUAGAUAUAUUUUUAAUGGCUUAAUGCACAGUUUAUUCCCUACAGCAUAUUGCUCUUUUCUUUUUCUUUUUUUUUAACUUUGGUCCUUAAUGUUUUUUUGCCCACUUUAGUACCUAAUAUUAUCAAAUUAGAUUCCUAGUGUAGUCUCUAACAUUAUCAGGUGUUCUUGGUUUACUCCAUUGGACGUUCAAAAAUAAAUUGAGAUAUCCAACUAACCAUAACUUGCCAUGUGGCAUAUGAUGACAUCGUGAUGGCAUCAUCAUCUAGAAAAAAAACCAAAAAAAUCUUUAAAAUUUCAAAUAAAUUUGAUCACAGGAUCUGCUACUGAUCAUGAGUGGAGCUUUCUUUCUUCUUUGACGAAUUGUAGGAAUUUGAACAUAAUAGAUGUUUCAGGAAAUCCAUUGAGUGGCGUUCUUCCUACUUAUAUCGGGAACUUUUCAAAAUCCCUUCAAUACUUUUAUGCCUCUAAUUGUGAGCUUCAAGGCAUUAUUCCUAUGGAAAUAGGUAACUUAAGCAACAUGCUGGUUUUAGAACUUGGCUAUAAUAAAUCAAGUGGAUUCAUUCCAACAUCAAUAGGAGGACUGCGAAAUCUCCAAAGUCUAGGUCUUUCCUCUAAUAAAUUAGGAGGGCCCAUCUCAGAAAGCCUUUGUGAUUUGGAGAGAUUAUACAACUUUCUUUUAGGGUUGAAUAAGCUGCAUGGAUCCAUACCCUCUUGUUUGGGUAAUAUUACUUCUUUGGGAUAUCUUUUCUUAUAUUCCAACAGAUUGAGUUCCACAAUACCCUCAACUUUGUGGAAUCUUAAAGAUAUCUUACAAAUAGAUUUAUCAUCAAACCAUCUUCACAAUUCACAUGCUAUUGAUGUUGGAAAUUUGAGGAGUCUACUGAAACUAAAUUUAUCAAGGAAUCUUCUCACGGGUGAUCUCUUAUCCACAUUUGNNNNNNNNNNNNNNNNNNNNNNNNNNNNNNNNNNNNNNNNNNNNNNNNNNNNNNNNNNNNNNNNNNNNNNNNNNNNNNNNNNNNNNNNNNNNNNNNNNNNCUUUGGUUCAAUUAGAUUUAUCAAAUAAUAUACUACAUGGUCAUAUCCCUGAAUCAUUUGAUAGGUUGAUUAGUUUGGAAUUCUUGGAUUUAUGCAAUAACAAUCUCUCUGGAGCCAUUCCCAAAUCUUUGGAAAAGCUUUCACAUCUAAAGUAUUUUAAUGUGUCUUUCAAUAGACUUGAAGGGGAAAUUCCCAGCAAAGGAUGUUUUUCAAACUUUUCUAGCACAUCAUUCAUGAAGAAUUAUGCACUUUGUGGUCCACCUAAAUUGCUAGUCCCACCUUGCAAAAACGACAUCCACAAAAACUCCCAAAUGAUUAUAUUGCAUGCUUUUAGGUAUGGUUUACCAACAAUUGGUAUUGUCGUAGUACUAAUAGUCUUAACUAUUAUGUAUAGAAGAUGCCAAAGGAGAAGUACAACUCUA
rnacentral:lncRNA from 1 species